AUGGGGAUGACCUUGGGAUGCUCCGCAUCACCUUCGGUGCGAUGUUGGAGGACGCCGAUGGUGGCACAUGUGACUCAUUGGGAGCUUUGGUGGACAUCGGGGCGCGGGGCUUGGUCCAACGUAGCUUGCGAGGCCCGAUUCAUCUGCAGCAAGAAUCAAUUUAAGGGCGGUGAUCACGUGGACCGAUCGGCAGCCGCGUGCGGCUCUGCCGGCGACGACCAACGAAGGCUUGUCCGGCAGCGGUACGACGCCAUCAGCACCCCUGGCGCUUCUGAAGGCGAGGAUCUUUCCGUAGCUGUGCAACGGCUGAUGCAGAGAUGA
rnacentral:rRNA from 1 species